rnacentral:lncRNA from 1 species
UCACUUUCUCUUUUCAUUUUCUUUUUAAUUCACAUUUAUUUUUCUGUUUUGAUUUUAGUUAUUUAAAAUAUUUUCGUUGUCCAUAAAAUUACCCAAAAAUAUUUUUCACAUUCCUUAAUGUCUUAUUUAAUUUUGUUUAAUUUUUAUUUUCGUAUUUAUUUAAUAUUAGUAUUUUAUUUUAAUUAUUUAUUCCAAGUGGUCCAUUUUAGCAUACAUUUUACUAUUGAUUUUAUUUUCAUGACUUAAACUUUUUUUUAGCUUUUGAUUUUUGGGAUGAAGGUUGACCACUGUCUCAUGGUCAACCUUAACUUUUCUUGGAAUUUUAUUUCACAUUUUCAAUUUAAUUUGGAUUUAAUUUUAACCU